rnacentral:rRNA from 1 species
AAAAACAUAGCUUGAGGGUUUAAUCUUAAGUUAGACCUGCCCGGUGAUUAUUUUAACGGCCGCGGUACUUUGACCGUGCUAAGGUAGCAUAAUCAGUUGACUUUUAAUUGGAGUCUGGAAUGAAAGGAGAAACGGGAAUUUACUGUCUUUAUUUUAUCUUUUGAAGUUACUAAUUAGGUGAAAAGGCCUAAAAUUGAAAAAAGACGAGAAGACCCUUAGAGUUUAUAAUUUUGUUGGGGCGACAUGAGGGCAAAAUGAACCUCUCAAUGUAUAAGUUACAUGGAAAUUAUUUUAGGUCAGAAUAAACUACCUAAGGGAUAACAGCAUAAUCUUUAUUAGGUUUGUGACCUCGAUGUUGGACUAGGGAAUUUAUUGGUUAGCCGCCAAUAAAAAAAGUUCUGUUCGAACAUAUCCCCCUACGUGAUCUGA